UUGUGCACCCCCUCCCAGAUUCAGUUUUGCUGAGCUAGUCACAAGUUUGGAUUCCUAUCGCAUUGGGACUGAAGUGACCUAUCGCUGUCAGCCAGGUUUCAUUCGUGUUGGUGGAAAGUCUCCUGUCAUUACUUGUCAAGAUAACUCUACCUGGUCACAACCCUCCGAGUUUUGUGUGGCAAAACAGUGCCCAGCUCCAGACAUACCGAAUGGUCAGCCUAUUGUAACUGAUCUCCGGUUGGGUGCGAGAGUCAACUUUACCUGUUCUGCCGGGUACAGAUUAAUUGGCAGCCAUUCUCUUCGAUGUGUGCUCGAUGUCGGAAGCAAUGUUCGUUGGGAUGGCGAGUUUCCCUACUGUGAAAGUAAGAUGAUUACAUCUAAUGUCUUUGACUUGCCCUAGAUACAAGUGGGCUUGUGUCUGGUGAAGGAACCGAAGAGCAGUUGGAGCUGUUCUCUCUCUUCUUUGUGCCAUAGGGGGAUAAAGGGAGCCUGGGCACAGGUGUAGGCCCCAGUACACGAUGGUCUUACACACCCGUGAGCAUUCACACCUGUGACGUAGAAUACAGUGGCCAAGACCUCACAAAGCACCACAGUAACUGUAGAGUAGAGAACUGUUCCUUUCUACUGAG